rfam:Amazona aestiva scaffold_57, whole genome shotgun sequence.
UGUGNGUCCAUGUGGAAGAGCUGGAAUAAACAACUGAUAAGCCGUGCUGCUGCUGUUCGUGGCAAGAAACUACCUCAGCCAGAGAAAAGGGUAGAAAAGUCCCACAAGUACCUGAAAAUGCCACAAGAGAAACCUGUGUAUGGACACACAUGCAUACACACGAGCCCCACUGU